UGAGCAGGGAUUGUGUGUAUUGGUGUUGUGCUGCAAUUGUUGUACUCUUCCAAAAGAGUUCCAUGCAGCAUAAAUUUGGGCAAGAUGGUGUUUGGAACCCAAUAAU